ensembl:lncRNA novel transcript
GGCCUCAGACCGCAGCGUCGGCCGAGAGGACGCCGGGAUACUGGCCAGCUCCAAGUCGAAAGGAAGCGACGCAUGAGUUGUUUGGUGCGAAUUUUAAACGGAAGAACGCAGAAGAAUUCUCUUUAUGUUACCUUUAUUUAGCAACAAAUCAACUUGACUCAACUGAUACUUACUGAGUGCCUUUAAAGGUAAGUGAAUAAAAGUCUACCCCUUGUAAAUCCACUUCAAGGAAUUUGUAAUCAAAUAUUGAUGUUUGAGGAUAAUGGGCCUUCCUGUUACUUCUUAGUACUAACCUAGCUUACACUCUACUUUCCUCCCUAAAGUUUACGCAAACUUUACAAACCUAUUAAAAUCCCAUUCCUUCUGUGAAAGAACUGCUCUCUCCUUCCUUGAAUUCCUAUAGCAUAUUAAUUAAUCACAUACUUAUUUGUAAUAUCUUCUCUUGAACUAUUUAACUUCCUGCUCUUCCUACCUAGAUUGUUUCUCUCAGAAGAAAGGAUUUUUUACUUUUCUGUACUUGUGCAUAUAUUAAGACCUCAUUUAUAUGGAACUCUUUGGGAAUGGAUGGUAUGGGAGAUCCAAGUUUUUAAAUAGUUGAAUUACGUGUCAAAACAACUAUUUUUUAUUAAAUUCUUUCUGGAAUAGACUACCUACUUAUUUCAUUGUUUUUUUAAGCACAGAGGGUUAACAUGAUGAACAUUAGCUCUUAUACCAUGUUCUAUAGAAAGAUAGUGGGACAACUGGUAUGGAGUAGAGGGCUAAUAUAUACGUCUCCAGCAGAACCCCUAAGUGUGUGUUCUUUAUCCUUUUUCUUAUCAAGUUAGAAUGAAAUAUGAGCAAUGGCAUACAACUACAAACUGUAACUUGACUAGCUCUCUGCAAAAUUAAUGAAGACAUUAGUCUAAAAUAUUCAAGUCACCAGAAAAAUCUUCACAGUUCGUAGUAGGUUGUGUGACUUGUCUGCUUUAUUGGCUUUACUACAACAGAUCACAUGCACCUCCCUGUCAGCUUGUACUCUUUCCCUUGUACUCCAGCCUAUGGAUGGAGAAUGAAAAGAAAUAUUUCAUAAUUUUAAACACCUGUGGCAAAGAACUUGGAUACAACUUACCCCAACAACCAGCUGAUUGUUCAUUAUUGCAAAAUAUCUUUUUUUUUUUAAACCCAACGCAUUUUUCUGGAUGUAAGAAACAAUACAACCUUUAUUGUUAUUGCUCUCAUAAUGAACGAACUUUUUAUGAAACGUACUAUUUGUUGACUAAAAAGUUGAAUUAAUAAGCUAAUAAUGGAGGGUGUGGCGGAAAAAAAAUACUAGAAUACAACUUAGGUAGCUUUUUAUUGUACAAUCUUGUUUCUUCCUUCAACCUACCCUCUUUGAUAAGAAAAACCGAAGUGGAGAUACCUAAGGCUUUAUAGGGGGAAUGGAGCUACUCCUCAAUUUCUUUAUCUUGCCUCUGCUGUUCCUAGUUGCUUUCACCUUUAGCUACUAUCACCAAUCUCUACUUGCAGUUUUUAGUGUGUAUUGACAGCCUCUUCUCAGCUUUCAAAUAAAAAGGCUGAUGAUAUUUUACAAACUGCCAGCUAAGCAAUGGUGAAGUGAUGGUUUUAUAGACAAGUACAAUUUUCCUUCCAUCACAAUUGUUUUUUGCUAGUUACUUUAGCAACUUUUCUGCUUCCAAACAGGCUACAGCUAAAGGAUGAGGGAUCUGCAAAGCUGGAUCCUUAAGCUACCUGAGAUAUUCAAAUAACGCUUACUGAUAUGAUUUGAUUUGUUCUAAGAAAGGGCUUAGGAAAAGGUAACAAAAAUUGGCUUAAUGUUUACAUUUUGUUUCACUACACUAUGUUAGGUCACCUCACAAAACUUACUUAAAAAGCUUCCCAAAUUGUUCCUGGUAUCCCUGUCUUCCCAUAUAUUCAGGUUAGACUCUCAGUGACACUAAUCUUCUAAUGACCUUUCUUCCUAUCAUUUUUCCAUUUAGGACUUUCUAAUUCCAUCAGGUCUGAACUCCUAUUUAUUAUAAGAUCCAUUCCUAGCCCUCAAAACUCAUACUAUAUACUAAUAGAUAGCAUAUGUUCCAUAAAAACUAUCUUCUAUCUCCACAGGCUAAAAUAUCCUUUUUACUUCUGCCCUUAUUUCCUCCCUAAAAUGUCUUAUAUUUUCACAGAAAGUUCCCUUGAAGCCCAGUUCUAGUACCCUGCACACUGAAAAGCACACAGGAGGGACUAAAAUACUUGCUUUAUUUGAUCUGCCAGUUAAUUUGGGAGAAGUAACUAAUAUGACAGAAAUUAUUUAAAAAUCAAUGUUUUCUGAAAGCUUAUGUUAUUAAACCUUUUAUUUCCUUCAACAUUACUAAAAAUUUAAGAAUCCCCUUUAAAUUUUUCCAUAAAGUUUUCAGGAUGAAUUUGUCACAUAAAAAGAGCCACUCAUUUUCAUGUUAAGUUUUCAAUGCAAGGUUUUCUUACCUUUAGGUAAAAUAGAAUAUGAUGAAAUGUAAUAAAUUAGAUGUCUGAUUAGAAAUUAUUUUCAAGCUUAAGCUAUCAAAAAUACUUUAGGAGUUAAACAUAUUCAAAACUAAGAAAGUUUUUUUGGGGAAAAAAGUCUCAGUUUACCAUUUGACAUUUUAAUUUUUUUUAAAGUAUUAGCUCUUCUAAACAGAUUUAAGUUUAAAAGAAAAAUACCAAUUUUCUUGGAGAACAGAAGAUGACGAAUGAGUGGGCAUCUCUCUGGGACUAGUCUGGGUCAGUCUCCUGCACCAUGAUGUUACUGUUGUCACAUAUCUAAAG